rnacentral:lncRNA from 1 species
UGCAUGAAUAUUUCACGUAUGAACUGGAUCGGGACUUGAUACAACAGGAGAACCUCGUGGAAGCUUGAGCAACAGUUGUUGGUCCUGGAAUGGCCUGCAGGAUUCACCAAAUUGAGGAGAGACAACAAAAAAGACCAAUAUCAGAAGCAGAACCAUGCAGAGGAUCCUUCUGCAACUGUAACACAAAGACAUGUUAUCUUUGUACGUGCUUCUCGGAAAUUAAAUCCUUGUUUGAUGUCUUGUGCAACAGAUAACUGAUUGGUAGAGAAACGAGGGAUUGUGAUAUGAAU